GACGAACGCUGGCGGCGUGCUUAACACAUGCAAGUCGAACGGAAAGGCCCUGCUUUUGUGGGGUGCUCGAGUGGCGAACGGGUGAGUAACACGUGAGUAACCUGCCCUUGACUUUGGGAUAACUUCAGGAAACUGGGGCUAAUACCGGAUAGGAGCUCCUGCUGCAUGGUGGGGGUUGGAAAGUUUCGGCGGUUGGGGAUGGACUCGCGGCUUAUCAGCUUGUUGGUGGGGUAGUGGCUUACCAAGGCUUUGACGGGUAGCCGGCCUGAGAGGGUGACCGGCCACAUUGGGACUGAGAUACGGCCCAGACUCCUACGGGAGGCAGCAGUGGGGAAUAUUGCACAAUGGGCGGAAGCCUGAUGCAGCAACGCCGCGUGCGGGAUGACGGCCUUCGGGUUGUAAACCGCUUUCGCCUGUGACGAAGCGUGAGUGACGGUAAUGGGUAAAGAAGCGCCGGCUAACUACGUGCCAGCAGCCGCGGUGAUACGUAGGGUGCGAGCGUUGUCCGGAUUUAUUGGGCGUAAAGGGCUCGUAGGUGGUUGAUCGCGUCGGAAGUGUAAUCUUGGGGCUUAACCCUGAGCGUGCUUUCGAUACGGGUUGACUUGAGGAAGGUAGGGGAGAAUGGAAUUCCUGGUGGAGCGGUGGAAUGCGCAGAUAUCAGGAGGAACACCAGUGGCGAAGGCGGUUCUCUGGGCCUUUCCUGACGCUGAGGAGCGAAAGCGUGGGGAGCGAACAGGCUUAGAUACCCUGGUAGUCCACGCUGUAAACGGUGGGUACUAGGUGUGGGGUCCAUUCCACGGGUUCCGUGCCGUAGCUAACGCUUUAAGUACCCCGCCUGGGGAGUACGGCCGCAAGGCUAAAACUCAAAGGAAUUGACGGGGCCCCGCACAAGCGGCGGAGCAUGCGGAUUAAUUCGAUGCAACGCGUAGAACCUUACCUGGGUUUGACAUGGAUCGGGAGUGCUCAGAGAUGGGUGUGCCUCUUUUGGGGUCGGUUCACAGGUGGUGCAUGGCUGUCGUCAGCUCGUGUCGUGAGAUGUUGGGUUAAGUCCCGCAACGAGCGCAACCCUUGUUCACUGUUGCCAGCACGUUAUGGUGGGGACUCAGUGGAGACCGCCGGGGUCAACUCGGAGGAAGGUGGGGAUGACGUCAAGUCAUCAUGCCCCUUAUGUCCAGGGCUUCACGCAUGCUACAAUGGCUGGUACAGAGAGUGGCGAGCCUGUGAGGGUGAGCGAAUCUCGGAAAGCCGGUCUCAGUUCGGAUUGGGGUCUGCAACUCGACCUCAUGAAGUCGGAGUCGCUAGUAAUCGCAGAUCAGCAACGCUGCGGUGAAUACGUUCCCGGG
rnacentral:rRNA from 1 species